AGAAGAAGAAAACUAGGACAGGAAGAGGGUAAAUCAAGCCAGAUCCACGAUGGCUGCUCUGGGCUUAAACCAGCUCCCUAAAGAGAAGGCUUUGGAGCAUGCUUUGUGGGUUUCCCAUGCCACUGGACUACUCAAGGUUAAUGGCUACCACAUGCCGGGAGCUGCUCAAAGCUGCAGAACUCCACUCUCAAGAUGGACAAAGGGUACCACCCGCUCACGGGAACUCUUCUGUGACCACGUAAAGAAGCCUGGCUGGCCUACUAGAAGAUGAGACCGCAUGGAACAGACACAAGUCUCCCCAGCUGAUGCCCCAAAGCAGCCAGGCCCCAGCUCAUCCACCAGAAGACCGCAGCUUCAGGAGCAACUCCAGCCAAGACCAGAAGAACUGCUCAGCUAAGCCCAGCCCAAAGUGCUGACCUAUGGAAUUGUGAGCAAAUAAAAUCAUUGAUGUUUUAAGCUAUGACACUUUGGCGUGAUCUGUCCUGCAGGUGACCAGGGCAGGUUCCAAACCAGCAUGACAGAAUCUCAACAUUAGAGAGGGCUCUUUAGGUUCACCUGUUCCAACCCCUUAUUAGUAUGUACAUUCCUUCUGCAUUCUGUUUACUGAGCACCUGCUCUGUGCGGGAUAACUUCCAGAUGCAGCAAUAAUAAAACCACAGUUAGUAGUUACUGAACAAUUCAUAUAUUCCUGGAAUUACUCUAGAUGUAUUAAAUAGAUCAGUGAUCAUUAGUCUGGGAUCUGCACACCAUUGGGCACUCUUAGGAAGAGCAAUUUUGAGGAAAGCAGUUUCUAGGUCCUCACCUAGCAUGGUAUUCUUUCCUCAGAAUUCAUUCUCCUGAAACAUGCCUGAGUUCUGGCUGUAUUCCUUUCCCUCCCUCCUCAUCACAUCAUCCUUUCUCUGCACAAAAUUGAACGCAUGCCUCUCACCCAUCCUGGCUUGUACUAUGGAGACUUGUACUAAGGGUAAAUAGUAGGCACCAAACAAGAAAUGAUUUGAAACCUUGGUGCCGGUGUUGAGAAAGCGAAUGACCAAUGGCUGGGCAUCUAAACCUUUCACCAGCAGAGAAGUUUCCAAUACUUUGCUUUCAGCAAGGAUUAAAUAAUAACCUAAUCCAGUUGUCAGCUGGGAGAGUAUUAAAAAUCAUUUUCAAUGACUGAUCACUAUAUGACUUCGGACAUGUAACUCCGUAGUACACAAAAUACUGAAUAGUAUAAAGAAAACUUCAUCCAUUCCUGCC